GACGAACGCUGGCGGCGUGCUUAACACAUGCAAGUCGAACGGAAAGGCCCUGCUUGCAGGGUGUUCGAGUGGCGAAAGGGGGAGUAAAACGUGGGUGAACCGUGCCCUACUUUGGGAUAAGCCUGGGAAAAAGGGUCUAAUAUAGGAUAGGAGCAUGCUGGAGGCGGGGUGGUGGUAAGAUGAGUUUGGGUAAUGGAUGAGCACGCGGCCUAUCAGCUUGUUGUUGGGGUAGUGGCCGACAAAGGCGUCUACGGGUAGACGCCCUGCGAGGGUGGACGGCCACAUUGUUGCUGAGAUUCGACCCCGACUCCUACGCGGGGCCGCAGUAGGGGAUAUUGCACCAUGGUCGGACGCCUGAUGCAGCGACACCGCGUGGUGGGUGACGGCCUUCGGGUUGUAAUCUCCUUUCUUCCAUGGCGAAGCCGUUGUAGUGACGGUAGUGGUAAAAGAAGCACCGGCUAACUACGUG
rnacentral:rRNA from 1 species